GCCGGAGUAGCUCAGUCGGUAGAGCAACUGAUUCGUAAUCAGUAGGUCGGGGGUUCGAUUCCUCUCUCCGGCA
rnacentral:tRNA from 2 species